GAACGCGAAAGGGGGCAACCCCCGGUAGCGUGGCAGACGGGUGAGUAACACGUGGGUAACCUACCCGGAGGUGGGGGAUAACCCUUCGAAAGGAGGGCUAAUACCGCAUGACAUCGCGAGGGCCUCGGUCUUUGCGAUCAAAGCUGGCCUCUGUUUACAAGCUAGCGCCACCGGAUGGGCCCGCGCCCCAUUAGCUAGUUGGUGAGGUAACGGCUCACCAAGGCGACGAUGGGUAGCCGGCCUGAGAGGGCGAUUGGCCACACUGGAACUGCGACACGGUCCAGACUCCUACGGGAGGCAGCAGUGAGGAAUAUUGCGCAAUGGGCGAAAGCCUGACGCAGCGACGCCGCGUGGAGGAUGAAGGUCUUCGGAUUGUAAACUCCUGUCGAGUGGGACGAAUGCCGUGAGGGUGAACAAUCCUCACGGUUGACGGUACCGCUGGAGGAAGCCCCGGCUAACUCCGUG
rnacentral:rRNA from 1 species